AUUGAACGCUGGCGGCGUGCUUAACACAUGCAAGUCGAUCGGUAACAGGUGUAGCAAUACAUGCUGACGAGAGGCGGACGGGUGAGUAAUGCUUGGGAAUCUGCCUAUUAGUGGGGGACAACCCGGGGAAACUCGGGCUAAUACCGCAUACGCUCUACGGAGGAAAGCCGGGGACCGCAAGGCCUGGCGCUAAUAGAUGAGCCCAAGUCGGAUUAGCUAGUUGGUAGGGUAACGGCCUACCAAGGCGACAAUCCGUAGCUGGUCUGAGAGGACGACCAGCCACACCGGAACUGAGACACGGUCCGGACUCCUACGGGAGGCAGCAGUGGGGAAUAUUGGACAAUGGGGGCAACCCUGAUCCAGCGACGCCGCGUGGGUGAAGAAGGCCUGCGGGUUGUAAAGCCCUUUCGGUGGGGAAGAAAAGUCUCGACCUAAUACGUCGGGACCUUGACGUAACCCACUAAAGAAGCACCGGCUAACUCUGUGCCAGCAGCCGCAGUAAU
rnacentral:rRNA from 1 species